rnacentral:rRNA from 1 species
UACGUAGGGGGCAAGCGUUGUCCGGAAUCAUUGGGCGUAAAGCGCGUGUAGGCGGCUCGAUAAGUCUGCUGUGAAAGUCCAGGGCUCAACCCUGGAAUGCCGGUGGAUACUGUCGGGCUCGAGUCCGGAAGAGGUGAGUGGAAUUCCCGGUGUAGCGGUGAAAUGCGCAGAUAUCGGGAAGAACACCUAUGGCGAAGGCAGCUCUCUGGGAACGGUACUGACGCUGAGACGCGAAAGCGUGGGGAGCGAACAGG